CAGAGGGGGGCAAGCGUUAUUCGGAAUAUUGGGCGUAAAGGGCGCGUAGGCGGCUUUUCAAGUGACGGGUGAAAUCCCUCGGCUUAACCGAGGAACUGCCUGUCAGACUGGAAAGGCUUGAGACCGGGAGAGGUGAGUGGAAUUCCCAGUGUAGCGGUGAAAUGCGUAGAUAUUGGGAGGAACACCAGUGGCGAAGGCGGCUCACUGGACCGGAACUGACGCUGAGGCGCGAAAGCGUGGGGAGCAAACAGGAUUAGAUACCCUGGUAGUCCACGCCGUAAACGAUGAGUGCUUGGUGUAGCGGGUAUCGACCCCUGCUGUGCCGAAGUCAACACAUUAAGCACUCCGCCUGGGGAGUACGGUCGCAAGACUG
rnacentral:rRNA from 1 species